rnacentral:rRNA from 1 species
GAUGAACGCUGGCGGCGUGCCUAAUACAUGCAAGUCGAGCGAACGGACGAGGAGCUUGCUCCUCUGAUGUUAGCGGCGGACGGGUGAGUAACACGUGGAUAACCUACCUAUAAGACUGGGAUAACUUCGGGAAACCGGAGCUAAUACCGGAUAACAUGUUGAACCGCAUGGUUCAAAAGUGAAAGACGGUUUUGCUGUCACUUAUAGAUGGAUCCGCGUCGCAUUAGCUAGUUGGUAAGGUAACGGCUUACCAAGGCAACGAUGCGUAGCCGACCUGAGAGGGUGAUCGGCCACACUGGAACUGAGACACGGUCCAGACUCCUACGGGAGGCAGCAGUAGGGAAUCUUCCGCAAUGGGCGAAAGCCUGACGGAGCAACGCCGCGUGAGUGAAGAAGGUCUUCGGAUCGUAAAACUCUGUUAUUAGGGAAGAACAAAUGUGUAAGUAACUGUGCACGUCUUGACGGUACCUAAUCAGAAAGCCACGGCUAACUACGUG